rnacentral:misc_RNA from 1 species
ACAUCUCAACUCUCACACUUUGCUGUGAUGAGCUUGGACUUUUGGGGGUUUUGCUGGCCUACGGUCAGCUCCUCUGAAACAGAUCAGCUUGCCAGUAUUUGGUGGCGUCACAGGUGUGAUAACUAUCUACGCUUGUGAUUGUUUGCCAAGCAACCUUUGGCGACGAAGGUUUGCUGGAGCUCAUAAAUGUCUCUCCUCAGCGAAGACAGCUUUUGACC